rnacentral:rRNA from 1 species
UGAAUAUGGGGGGACCAUCCUCCAAGGCUAAAUACUCCUGACUGACCGAUAGUGAACCAGUACCGUGAGGGAAAGGCGAAAAGAACCCCGGCGAGGGGAGUGAAAAAGAACCUGAAACCGUGUACGUACAAGCAGUGGGAGCACAGGUUUACCUGUGUGACUGCGUACCUUUUGUAUAAUGGGUCAGCGACUUAUAUUCUGUAGCAAGGUUAACCGAAUAGGGGAGCCGGAGGGAAACCGAGUCUUAACCGGGCGUUAAGUUGCAGGGUAUAGACCCGAAACCCGGUGAUCUAGCCAUGGGCAGGUUGAAGGUUGGGUAACACUAACUGGAGGACCGAACCGACUAAUGUUGAAAAAUUAGCGGAUGACCUGUGGCUGGGGGUGAAAGGCCAAUCAAACCGGGAGAUAGCUGGUUCUCCCCGAAAGCUAUUUAGGUAGCGCCUCGUGAAUUCAUCUCCGGGGGUAGAGCACUGUUUCGGCUAGGGGGCCAUCCCGGCUUACCAACCCGAUGCAAACUGCGAAUACCGGAGAAUGUUAUCACGGGAGACACACGGCGGGUGCUAACGUCCGUCGUGAAGAGGGAAACAACCCAGACCGCCAGCUAAGGUCCCAAAGUCAUGGUUAAGUGGGAAACGAUGUGGGAAGGCCCAGACAGCCAGGAUGUUGGCUUAGAAGCAGCCAUCAUUUAAAGAAAGCGUAAUAGCUCACUGGUCGAGUCGGCCUGCGCGGAAGAUGUAACGGGGCUAAACCAUGCACCGAAGCUGCGGCAGCGACACUGUGUGUUGUUGGGUAGGGGAGCGUUCUGUAAGCCUGCGAAGGUGGCCUGUGAGGGUUGCUGGAGGUAUCAGAAGUGCGAAUGCUGACAUAAGUAACGAUAAAGCGGGUGAAAAGCCCGCUCGCCGGAAGACCAAGGGUUCCUGUCCAACGUUAAUCGGGGCAGGGUGAGUCGACCCCUAAGGCGAGGCCGAAAGGCGUAGUCGAUGGGAAACGGGUUAAUAUUCCCGUACUUGGUGUUACUGCGAAGGGGGGACGGAGAAGGCUAUGUUGGCCGGGCGACGGUUGUCCCGGUUUAAGCGUGUAGGUGUGUGUUCCAGGUAAAUCCGGUUCACUUUAACACUGAGGCGUGACGACGAGGCACUACGGUGCUGAAGCAACAAAUGCCCUGCUUCCAGGAAAAGCCUCUAAGCAUCAGGUAACAUCAAAUCGUACCCCAAACCGACACAGGUGGUCAGGUAGAGAAUACCAAGGCGCUUGAGAGAACUCGGGUGAAGGAACUAGGCAAAAUGGUGCCGUAACUUCGGGAGAAGGCACGCUGACACGUAGGUGAAGUGAUUUACUCAUGGAGCUGAAGUCAGUCGAAGAUACCAGCUGGCUGCAACUGUUUAUUAAAAACACAGCACUGUGCAAACACGAAAGUGGACGUAUACGGUGUGACGCCUGCCCGGUGCCGGAAGGUUAAUUGAUGGGGUCAGCGCAAGCGAAGCUCCUGAUCGAAGCCCCGGUAAACGGCGGCCGUAACUAUAACGGUCCUAAGGUAGCGAAAUUCCUUGUCGGGUAAGUUCCGACCUGCACGAAUGGCGUAAUGAUGGCCAGGCUGUCUCCACCCGAGACUCAGUGAAAUUGAACUCGCUGUGAAGAUGCAGUGUACCCGCGGCAAGACGGAAAGACCCCGUGAACCUUUACUAUAGCUUGACACUGAACAUUGAGCCUUGAUGUGUAGGAUAGGUGGGAGGCUUUGAAGUGUGGACGCCAGUCUGCAUGGAGCCGACCUUGAAAUACCACCCUUUAAUGUUUGAUGUUCUAACGUGGACCCGUUACCCGGGUUGCGGACAGUGUCUGGUGGGUAGUUUGACUGGGGCGGUCUCCUCCUAAAGAGUAACGGAGGAGCACGAAGGUUGGCUAAUCCUGGUCGGACAUCAGGAGGUUAGUGCAAUGGCAUAAGCCAGCUUGACUGCGAGCGUGACGGCGCGAGCAGGUGCGAAAGCAGGUCAUAGUGAUCCGGUGGUUCUGAAUGGAAGGGCCAUCGCUCAACGGAUAAAAGGUACUCCGGGGAUAACAGGCUGAUACCGCCCAAGAGUUCAUAUCGACGGCGGUGUUUGGCACCUCGAUGUCGGCUCAUCACAUCCUGGGGCUGAAGUAGGUCCCAAGGGUAUGGCUGUUCGCCAUUUAAAGUGGUACGCGAGCUGGGUUUAGAACGUCGUGAGACAGUUCGGUCCCUAUCUGCCGUGGGCGCUGGAGAACUGAGGGGGGCUGCUCCUAGUACGAGAGGACCGGAGUGGACGCAUCACUGGUGUUCGGGUUGUCAUGCCAAUGGCACUGCCCGGUAGCUAAAUGCGGAAGAGAUAAGUGCUGAAAGCAUCUAAGCACGAAACUUGCCCCGAG